AAUAAACAGGCUGUUAAACAUGAACAGUUCACAAUAACAUAGCCGAUCUUUGCAUAUCUAAUAGAUUUAAUGUGUUACAGGCUAUACAUUCGAGUCAGUAUUAUUAAUAGUUUGCUGUGUAAUAUAUAAAUUGAACAUGUUGGAGGAUCAAGAAUUUAUGAAAACCAUAUUUGCUGUGUUUCUUCUCAUACCUUUGACUGCAGGAUUGAAGAGUUAUGCUUGUAAUGGGCCAAAAAAUGGAUAUUGUACGGAGCACAAAAUAUUGUGUGAUGAUAAAGACAAACGGAUUCAUAAUAUUUCCGGUUACUAUGGCUUCACAUAUUAUUAUGUUCCUGAUCACUCUUGCUGUUUAAUAGAUGAUUAUGACCCAGAUGACUGUCUUCCUGGAUUUAAUGCCACAGUCCAUUCGAAUCUUAUAGAUUCAUGUAAUGGGAAGAAGACAUGUAACUUUCAAACACCAAUUCCAGAUUUUAAAUAUUGCUCUAUAGAAAACGAUGAUGAUGGGAGAAGAAAUAACUUCGGUUCUAAUAUAUCCUCUUGCCAUACUUAUGAUUUUUAUACAUAUUCCUACAUACAGUUUGAAUGCUUGCCAGUCACAACUGCCUUGUCGACCAGAAGCACAAUCCCUACAAGAGAACACCGGGCGUAUACUGUUAGAAGUACAAUAAGGUCGACUGAUCUAGACAGUUCCAAACCUGAAAAAUCCACAGAAACCGACGGGCCUGAACAUGUAUCUGGAAGAACAGAAUAUAUAAUCUUAAAUACUAUAGCCAUGGCCCUGGUUACAGCAGAUACGGCUGUUAUUGUUGGAAGCGUCGUUGGAUGUUUUCUUCUGGUCAUAUUAGUUAUCAUUUUUGUAGUCAUUAUAUUAAAACGAAAGAAGGACACAUGUUAUAAAGACGGUGGUAUCUCCAUCACAGUGUACGAAACACGUAACUUGGUUCAAUAAGGACGCUUCGCUCUACACUGAUUUAACAGUGAGUAACCACAGUGAAAUCGGAGACCAGCCUGAUUAUGAAAAUUCUCCCGUUAAAGUUAGCAAGAUCAUAAUGACUUUGUUUUAAAGAAUGCAACCGUUGGAAUUACAUUGCCCCUGUCCAUGCAAUACAAUAUGUAUUAAAUGCAUUAUGAUGGGUUUGCGAUGACUGACAAUAAUAAACUUCAAACGGAAAGGAAUUAAACGGGAUUUAACGUCCUGUCCCAACUGGGCUAAUGAAGACGAUCAUACUUCUGGAUCAUACAUUGUGCUAUAAGGGAGAUUUGAUGGCACACCAGCGCUGAUUUAUAGCUGUAUUUCGACAAAUAUAUGAUGAAUAGUACGAGAAAAACUAUAUGUAAUCAUUGAAUGUAUAUAUGUACAUGAAUAAACCAAAUAUUACUGAAUAUCAAAUAAUUAAAAAUAAAAUAAAAAAAAACACUAGCUAACUAAA